rnacentral:tRNA from 12 species
GGAGUGGUAGUUCAGUUGGUUAGAAUGCCGGCCUGUCACGCCGGAGGUCGCGGGUUCGAGUCCCGUCCACUCCGCCA